GGCACGCGGCGUCAUUGUUCUGCCGAAAAACAUAGCGAUAGGAUGUGUUACCGGUUUCGAGGUGUUUCAUUUCUACUACGCAAUAAAUUAUCGUUUUAUUGGCAUCAUUAAAUGAUAUUGGAAAAAUGGCGGAUUUGUGCAUGCACACCAUGAUUUAUAGCCGAUGAUUUUCCUACAUAUCCGAUUUUGAAGAUUUUAAUUUCCUCUUCUAUGGAUUAUUGGACUACAUUUUUAAGGCGGGAAAAAAUUCAAUAUGGAUGCCAUUACAUCUUUAUGUCUUUAUGUGAGAAUUUUUGUGGCCGCGUGCAAUGCGGUUAAUAGAGUCAGUGUUUAUUGCAUAAGUUUUUUUAACGUUUUUUUUAAAGAACAAUAGCAUUAAUUAAAUUUAAUUUCAAUAAUCACACGUGAAAUUAGAGUCAGUGUUGUUCGUCAAUUUCAAUUUAAACGGAUGUUAAUCUUUUCUUUUUUUUAAAUAAUCGUUUUCAAUUAUAAGUUAGAAUCAGUGCAUCAACAUAAUAAAGUGAUCAUCCAUCACGCGAAGAGAUAUUUCUCAGCUUUUACAAUGAUUUCUUGUUAUACAUAGCUGUUUUGAACAACGUUCUUCGCAUCUAAUGGUGAGUCGCAUGCAUUUUUGUUCCUCUGGUCACUCAAUCAUGUCGUAGGAUGAAAGAUCUGAAUCGACACGGGUGACUGGUUGUAUACGUAGAAUUUUGCACGAGCACAGUGACCAUGGGUACUUAUUAUACCCUUGAGUAAUAACACUUCUGUUUUUUGUGUUUUAUUUAUCAGAUCAGGAUAGGUUUUCUUGCACAACGUGUUUUU